rnacentral:tRNA from 1 species
AAGUCCUUAAGUUAACGAUAAACUGUAAGCCUUCAAAGCUUAAAAUAAACCUACUACGUUUAGGACUUG